ACGGAGGGUCCAAGCGUUAUCCGGAUUCAUUGGGUUUAAAGGGUUCGUAGGCGGAUAGAUAAGUCAGUGGUGAAAUCCCGAAGCUCAACUUCGGAACUGCCAUUGAAACUGUUUAUCUUGAAUUUAGUUGAAGUGGGCGGAAUAUGACAUGUAGCGGUGAAAUGCAUAGAUAUGUCAUGGAACACCAAUUGCGAAGGCAGCUCACUAAGCUAAUAUUGACGCUGAUGAACGAAAGCAUGGGUAGCGAACAGG
rnacentral:rRNA from 1 species